rnacentral:pre_miRNA from 1 species
AAAAAGACAAACCGUGGGUUCCCGUGCCAACGUUUGACUGUCCGUCUUAUGUGAAAUUUUUUUAUAGUUAGUAUUUUCAUUGUUGUUAGAUGAUAAAACAUGAUUAAUACUUUAUGCGUGACUUAUCUUUUUAAUUUUUUCAAAUAAGACGAACGGUCAAACGUUGGACACGGAAACCAGGGUUUGUCUUUUU